CGCUCUGCGUCUGCGCAGCCUCGCAGUCCCGCGUUGCCCAGUGAUGGGCUUUGGGUUCGGGUUCCUUCGGCUUGGAUCGGGUAUUUCCGUUCUUGGAGCUAAUGAUUCGGUGGUCCCCGGCUACUUCCGGGGAUGCUCGCCUGGCCGGGUAGGAAGCGGCGUUUGGUCGCCAUCUUUGAAUGGGGCAGAUGGGGUCCUCUUCGCUCCGAAGGCGAGGGUCGGACGAGGCCUCGUUCCCGGAGGUCACAAAGGCUGCGAACCAGGCCAGGGGCGUCGGCUGGAGGGCGCGGGGUCCCAUCUCAAAACCAGAGAUCCCUGUUCUAGGAGGUUCUGAUCGAGGUAAACUGAGAAAUAAAACGUAUUGUGACAAGCACCGCGGCGGCCUGCAACAGGCCUCGAGCACACGUGGGACUGGGACGCAAGCUCCUGCACUGCAGCCCCUGUGUUUCCGCCGCCACCAGGGCCGGGUAUGGACUGCGCCAGCCUCCAUGGAUCUCAGCCCUGCGUGCCUAGGAGGGGCAUGAGGGAAGGGCGCCUGAGGCCCGACUAACCCUUUUCUGGGUUAGUCGGCCUGGCGCCCGCUCUUCUCCAUCGCCAACCCCGGACCUGCCCACAUCCCUGUCCUCACCUCGGAGACUCGCAUCCGCCUUGUGGGCUACCGUCCCCUUGGCCCCUGAGCCCUUGGAGACCGUACCCUGUGCCUGCCCAGAGCUGAAUCCCGAGGACAUCUGGGGCAAGGAUGAAGCCUUAGCAGCCUCAACAAUUUGGGACCAAGGUGACUUCAGGUGUCCUAGCUUCCUCAGGCUUCACAUAUGGCUGGUUCUGGGACUCAGGACCUCUCCAGACUCAGCGUCACUGUCACCACUCCCCUUGGCAUUCUCAGCCACCCUGCUCUGUGCAGAUUUUUUCCUUUUGUUAACUUACUUUCUUUCAUGAGAGAAAGACAUGCAGGAAGACCCUAGUGGGGUCUUUACACUGACCUACCCCAGCCUCAGUCAGUUCUGGAUCAUGAACUUGUGUGUGCCAAGCAUACUCAGGGAGGUCUCCAGUCAAGAACCCAGAACCUUCCCAUGUGGGCCAGCCUUGCAGAGUAAGGCAUUUUACUGCUGCCAUACCAUCCUGUUAUGUGCUGGCCAUGCUAUUAGUUUCAUGCUGGCCAUCUCUAUGUCACUGGUAAUGACCAUCCUGCUGUUUCCA